AGCUCCUCCUCUGAACACACAUUCAUCGCCAAUUAUGGUUUCUCACCGUCUUCGUCCUCAGCCAUCUUGGACCUGACAAUUCAGUUCGCUUGGGAUCCCAUACCGUCCUUUGGCUUUCCGUCCAAAGAAACUACACAGUUUCUCCUAGCCUAAAACUAACACCGAGUACAGACCCUCAUUUUCCUUGCUGUUUCAGCCUCGACCUUCUACCUUUCCAAUUUGACGGUUACAGUUAUCAGACCUCAUGUGGUGUUAAUCUCGGCCAUCCACCAUCGGUAUUAACUUCCAAUUAGAUCUCCAAAAUAUAAAACGGCCAUCACCAAACUUUCUUGGGCUUCUCCUCACCCAAUCUAUAUAAACAGAUGGUUCAUAACUCUCCUCCUUUCACCGUAAACACACCUUCGAAAGCUUAAUUUAGUGUUUCUCUUCCAUAUUGUUUUUCUGGAAGCUUCAAAGAGGUCUCAAACGUCGGCAGUCAUGGCGAUUAUCGCGCACCAACGUUCAGAAGAUUAUGACACAACCAAUUAAAGCUCAGAUCCAGAUUUGGCUAUUUGAGCAGAAAUGAGGACUUAAGGAAGAAUUCAUUGUGUUGGCGUUAAUUGGGAUCUAGAGAGAACAUUAAUCCUUCCAAAUACCAAGAUUCUUUGCUAUAGUAAGUCUACUCUGUAUUUUGUCGGUUCCAUAUUAUUUGAAGUUACUUUUCAUGUAUUUUUCCAUGUAUCAGUUAAUAGGAUUACAGCUUCUCAAGACUCGGGGGAAAUUAAAAGUUGAUAGAUCUGUUUGAAAAUUAGGAUGGUUGUGAUUGUUGUUUUGAUAAGCGACAGAAGACGAAACCAACAACACGUUACUCACCAGGAAACUCUUUGAAAGCACACUGACUCAUCCCAUUUUUCUCAACAAGUAUGAUCUCUUGGCAGAUAAAGUCGAACGAGUUCUUGAGAGACGAUUCGAGUGGUUCCAAUAUUCUUAUUAUGUGGUCAGUCAUCACCGUUCCGAAAACUGUAAACCCACUUUGGGUUGCUCGCGUUCGGUAACUUCCGUCACAUGGAAGUUAAGUGGGAUUACCAUACCUUUACUGGUAAAGAUGGUAGUUCUUCGAGCAAAAAAAGACCCCCACCAUGUUGAUUCCUAUCUCAAGAUGGAGAUUCUCAAAUGGAGUGACAAAUAGAAUUUUUUAAGCAUGAGUGAUUACUCUGUGUAACAUUGAGCGAAGUGCCUGCUCAAAUUCAAGUUUUCACAAUAAAAAGUCAUGUAAAUGGUAACCACUUUUGUUAAAUCAACCUUGAAUCUUGUGGCAAUCAAAAGGAGUACAGAAAAAUACAGAAAUAGCAAGAUUUUUGUUUUUUAUCAUAAAUUAAUCAUUCUUAUAAUUCAACCACUAUAUUGCUUAUGUCCA